UUAUGGAAACAUAGGGGUCAGUUCGGCUGGAUCGGUGACAGGUGCUGCAUGGCUGUCGUCAGCUCGUGUCGUGAGAUGUUGGGUUAAGUCCCGCAACGAGCGCAACCCUUGUCCUUAGUUGCCAGCAUUCAGUUGGGCACUCUAAGGAGACUGCCGGUGUCAAACCGGAGGAAGGUGGGGAUGACGUCAAGUCCUCAUGGCCCUUAUGUCCAGGGCUACACACGUGCUACAAUGGCCGGUACAAAGGGGCGCAAGACCGCGAGGUGGAGCAAAUCCCAAAAAACCGGUCUCAGUUCGGAUUGGAGUCUGCAACUCGACUCCAUGAAGUUGGAAUCGCUAGUAAUCGCGUAUCAGCAUGACGCGGUGAAUACGUUCCCGGGCCUU
rnacentral:rRNA from 1 species